rnacentral:snRNA from 15 species
GAACUCAAAAGACGCCGGGUUCAAGGUAAUGAAGAACGCUCUGACCCCGGGUGGAGGUUCAGCAAUGCACCUCGGUGGGUUGAAACUCGCCACGGACCCUAAUCGGCUGCAUUCGAGCGUGUAGUUUUUGUUAGUGGGGAGGCCUCACGGUCCUCCCUU